GCAGUCGAGCGGAGAGAGGUAGCUUGCUACUGAUCUUAGCGGCGGACGGGUGAGUAAUGCUUAGGAAUCUGCCUAUUAGUGGGGGACAACAUUUCGAAAGGAAUGCUAAUACCGCAUACGUCCUACGGGAGAAAGCAGGGGAUCUUCGGACCUUGCGCUAAUAGAUGAGCCUAAGUCGGAUUAGCUAGUUGGUGGGGUAAAGGCCUACCAAGGCGACGAUCUGUAGCGGGUCUGAGAGGAUGAUCCGCCACACUGGGACUGAGACACGGCCCAGACUCCUACGGGAGGCAGCAGUGGGGAAUAUUGGACAAUGGGCGGAAGCCUGAUCCAGCCAUGCCGCGUGUGUGAAGAAGGCCUUAUGGUUGUAAAGCACUUUAAGCGAGGAGGAGGCUACUUUAGUUAAUACCUAGAGAUAGUGGACGUUACUCGCAGAAUAAGCACCGGCUAACUCUGUGCCAGCAGCCGCGGUAAUACAGAGGGUGCAAGCGUUAAUCGGAUUUACUGGGCGUAAAGCGCGCGUAGGCGGCUAAUUAAGUCAAAUGUGAAAUCCCCGAGCUUAACUUGGGAAUUGCAUUCGAUACUGGUUAGCUAGAGUGUGGGAGAGGAUGGUAGAAUUCCAGGUGUAGCGGUGAAAUGCGUAGAGAUCUGGAGGAAUACCGAUGGCGAAGGCAGCCAUCUGGCCUAACACUGACGCUGAGGUGCGAAAGCAUGGGGAGCAAACAGGAUUAGAUACCCUGGUAGUCCAUGCCGUAAACGAUGUCUACUAGCCGUUGGGGCCUUUGAGGCUUUAGUGGCGCAGCUAACGCGAUAAGUAGACCGCCUGGGGAGUACGGUCGCAAGACUAAAACUCAAAUGAAUUGACGGGGGCCCGCACAAGCGGUGGAGCAUGUGGUUUAAUUCGAUGCAACGCGAAGAACCUUACCUGGCCUUGACAUAGUAAGAACUUUCCAGAGAUGGAUUGGUGCCUUCGGGAACUUACAUACAGGUGCUGCAUGGCUGUCGUCAGCUCGUGUCGUGAGAUGUUGGGUUAAGUCCCGCAACGAGCGCAACCCUUUUCCUUAUUUGCCAGCGAGUAAUGUCGGGAACUUUAAGGAUACUGCCAGUGACAAACUGGAGGAAGGCGGGGACGACGUCAAGUCAUCAUGGCCCUUACGGCCAGGGCUACACACGU
rnacentral:rRNA from 1 species